CAGCGCACCCAGUCACAAUAUGUAAGGUCAGUAUCUGUUUGAGUAACUCUAAGUAGAAGCCCUCUGUGACAGAGGGUCAGAUCGUUGGCUUCAAGGGACACGCAAGCAGUCAACAGUUUAAAAUUUGUUCUCGCUUCUGAAUGUUUCUAUGAAUUGGUCAAGUUUCCAUUCCACACAGCGAACUUCUUCCACUCGCAUAAUUCCUCACUAAGCAGAUGCAGAAUCAAAAUAUGCUAAACAAGAUUGUCUUUAUUUAGAGGACACAUUUCCGUACAUAUUUACCCAGACUGCAGACUUCAUGCAGGUUCCGGUAAUAAGAGCCAAGUUCCACAGCUCUGCAUGGGCUACGCAGAGGGAGAGCUGAGGAGACGAUUGGGCUGCGCAUUCAAAUGCUCCAAGGUUUUCAAAGAUGAUGGCACCUCUGCAAAAGUGGACCACAGACCUGUCCCCUGUCGUCAUCCAGAAGCUGAACAGCGCACAUUAGAAAUGAUCACGCGAAGAGAAGAUGCCCUUCUUCAUGCUUGCCCUGGUCUGCGGAAAAGAUUGUUCUACAGCUCAUUCAAGGUCAAGGCCUCUAUCUCCUCCUGAGCAGAAGCAGCCCCAGACCAUGAGAAGUGAAAUGAAAAGCAUGAAGACACAGAGAACUGAUAACCCAUCACUGCUUCAUGUCUCAGAGCUCUUUGAACAGGAAUGAAGUUCAAACGACUUAGCAGCUCCUUAAAAGGGCGAUACCAGCCCCCAGGACAAGGGUCCUCCCAACAGAGGUUGUGGAUUCUGGACGUGAGCCACGGACUCCAAGCGUGUCACAGUUCUUCAUGGGGAUGCCCACUGCUUCCACGCCACUUGCUCCCUCCUCGUCCCCCAGCUGACCCAGCCCUUCCGGGGACACACACAGACAAUUUUGCUACUUAGGUCCAUGAGGAUUGUUCCCUUAGAAGUGGGGUGAACAGUGCGACCAAUAACAUCCC
rnacentral:lncRNA from 1 species